AUGAUAUAGGAUAGAGCAGAGGAACGGUGGGUUGAUGAUGAUGGUGAUGUGACCACCGUCGCCAAAUCAUGUCUCCCAUUGUAGAACUUAGCAAAAUCUAGCGCCCACCACCUCCAUAUGUGCUGCCCUAUAAAUAACUAGCUCCAUCAGCAACCUAAGAGGUGUAGUGGUUGUCUCUGAUGCUUGUGAUAGGAUACUCUGGUGGUGAAUUUAAUUUACCGCGUGUUUUUACAGGAACGCCUAUGCAACCGCCCUCUAGAUGAUAUCAAAGUCUUUUCAGGGACAACCACAGUGUAACCUGCCAUAGCAUAUCGCACCAAGGUUGAUCACCAACCCAAGAGGCCUAAACGAACCUCUCCCAUGCUCAAAUGUUAGCAUAGGCAAGUGUAAUGAGUGAGCCAUCCCCUAACUACCCCACCUACUGCAUACAAUACCGUAGGCUAGACGUAAUGGGCAAGGCACGAUCACGAGUGUGCCUUGUCAGAAGCACAUGAUAGAUGGGACAUCGAUUGGAUUGAGGAGACUAAGACAAACUGUUUAAUACUAUCUCUUGUGAAUGGACAAUCCGAUCACGAGCGUCCACUCUCCUUACAUGAUCCACCCUUGCCUAGUUGGUCGAUAUGUCCCAGUUGUGACGACACCGUUCUACAAUGGACAAGACAUUUAUAAUCAUUAUAUGCAAUGAAGAGCAAAUAGGAAGUCAAGAUGACCGACGGAUAAGUACAAAGUCAAGAUAAACCUUGUUAGAGCAUCCUCGACAGCUCAUUUAAAUUUGAUUAUCUAUAUCUUUAUUUGAAUGAUCAUCUAAAACAGUUUCACCUCUCAUAUCUCUUCGUGCUCCAGCAGAUUAUCUAUAUAUGAUAUCUUCUAUAUCUUUUUGGAGGAUGAAGAGAUAAUAUCCAAAUAUGGAAUUUCUCUCUUCUAACAUAGAUGAUAUCCAAAAAUAGAGGAUGAGAUGAAUGUUCUGUUGGAGCUUAAGUUUUACCAUUUAUACUCUAUUUUCAGAAUGAAGGAUGAGAUAGAUGUGUUGCUGGGGUACACUUACUGCAAGGCAAGUGGGUAGGAAAUAUGAAUUGUAUAUGGGCAUAUUAUCUUGGUGAUAUAGGGUCACCUUACACCCUAUUCGACCGAAACCAAGUCGUGAGUUUGCAGAGAACAUAUAACCUGUUUUCGAGCAGAUAGGAAAGUUGGCUUUCAUUAGGCAAGGGUGACAAGUAGGAGAACACGUUAUCACAAGACCAGUAGGUCACCUAUAUGAACGCUAUUGUUAUGGGGAAUAAAAAGUGAUAAGGUGAACUAGCAAGGAGGCAAAUAACUCAUUAGAAGAUAGAUUAAUUCAACUAAUUGCUAAGCUAUUCAUAUCGAUUACACUAUCAAUAAUAUACUUCUAAAUAUUCAAGGACCAGUAUUCGAGUGCAAGUGACAGCUUACGAAAUGGUCCAAGAUGUCAUCCAAAUUACUAUUAAGCUCAUGUUUUCCUCUAUCCAAGAUGUAGUCUUAUAAGUUUCUAAUGUAAUUCUCGGGCUAAAAAAGCUUAUCAUCUCCAUUGUACGAAGGAAAAUGACAUGAUAAUCGAUAUUACAGUGCUACAACAUUCCAUACUCCAUUCACAUUCAACCUAAAAUAGAUAGAGAAAGUUGUUUUUUUGUACCUGUUUUUAUUCGAUCUUGUUCCAGACCAAGUUCACCACACCAGUGUAAACCUUUUCAUGGCGAUGGCUGUACGCUGCUCCAUUCAAACCAGAUACUCUUACGGUCAAAGCAGCACGGAGGAGGAAUAAAAACAGAUCGCUGGAUCGGCAAUGAUCGCUACGCUCGAUCGGCGCGCGGACUGGAGGCGCCUGGGCCUCCUCGU
rnacentral:lncRNA from 1 species